CCCUCUGGGUCCAACCUCCCACCCGUGUUUAUUUUACCUUGUUGCUUCGGCGGGCCCGCCUUAACUGGCCGCCGGGGGGCUUACGCCCCCGGGCCCGCGCCCGCCGAAGACACCCUCGAACUCUGUCUGAAGAUUGUAGUCUGAGUGAAAAUAUAAAUUAUUUAAAACUUUCAACAACGGAUCUCUUGGUUCCGGCAUCGAUGAAGAACGCAGCGAAAUGCGAUACGUAAUGUGAAUUGCAAAUUCAGUGAAUCAUCGAGUCUUUGAACGCACAUUGCGCCCCCUGGUAUUCCGGGGGGCAUGCCUGUCCGAGCGUCAUUGCUGCCCUCAAGCACGGCUUGUGUGUUGGGCCCCGUCCUCCGAUCCCGGGGGACGGGCCCGAAAGGCAGCGGCGGCACCGCGUCCGGUCCUCGAGCGUAUGGGGCUUUGUCACCCGCUCUGUAGGCCCGGCCGGCGCUUGCCGAUCAACCCAAAUUUUUAUCCAGGUUGACCUCGGAUCAGGUAGGGAUACCCG
rnacentral:rRNA from 1 species